rnacentral:rRNA from 1 species
GAUGAACGCUGGCGGCGUGCCUAAUACAUGCAAGUCGAGCGAACAGACGAGGAGCUUGCUCCUCUGAUGUUAGCGGCGGACGGGUGAGUAACACGCGGAUAACCUACCUAUAAGACUGGGAUAACUUCGGGAAACCGGAGCUAAUACCGGAUAACAUGUUGAACCGCAUGGUUCAACAGUGAAAGACGGUCUUGCUGUCACUUAUAGAUGGAUCCGCGCCGCAUUAGCUAGUUGGUAAGGUAACGGCUUACCAAGGCAACGAUGCGUAGCCGACCUGAGAGGGUGAUCGGCCACACUGGAACUGAGACACGGUCCAGACUCCUACGGGAGGCAGCAGUAGGGAAUCUUCCGCAAUGGGCGAAAGCCUGACGGAGCAACGCCGCGUGAGUGAAGAAGGUCUCCGGAUCGUAAAACUCUGUUAUUAGGGAAGAACAAAUGUGUAAGUAACUAUGCACGUCUUGACGGUACCUAAUCAGAAAGCCACGGCUAACUACGUG